rnacentral:rRNA from 1 species
UUUCCAGACUCCUACGGGAGGCAGCAGUGGGGAAUAUUGGGCAAUGGAGGAAACUCUUACCCAGCAAUGCCGCGUGAAUGAAGAAGGUCUUCGGAUUGUAAAGUUCUUUAAUUGGGGACGAAAAAAAUGACGGUACCCAAGGAAUAAGCCCCGGCUAACUACGUGCCAGCAGCCGCGGUAAUACGUAGGGGGCAAGCGUUAUCCGGAUUUACUGGGUGUAAAGGGGGCGCAGACGGCAGCGCAAGCCAGGAGUGAAAGCCCGGGGCCCAACCCCGGGACUGCUCUUGGAACUGCGCGGCUGGAGUGCAGGAGGGGCAGGCGGAAUUCCUGGUGUAGCGGUGAAAUGCGUAGAUAUCAGGAGGAACACCGGUGGCGAAGGCGGCCUGCUGGACUGCGACUGACGUUGAGGCCCGAAAGCGUGGGGAGCAAACAGGAUUAGAUACCCCCGUA